rnacentral:rRNA from 1 species
GAUCAUGGCUCAGGAUGAACGCUGGCGGCGUGCCUAACACAUGCAAGUCGAGCGGGAAAUCCGUGACGGGUCCUUCGGGUGACGGAUCGGAUGGAGAGCGGCGGACGGGUGAGUAACGCGUAGGUAACCUGCCCUGUACAGAGGGAUAGCCACUGGAAACGGUGAUUAAUACCUCAUAAUGUCCGGAUCUGCACAUGCAGGACCGGUCAAAGUUUUUUCGGUACAGGAUGGACCUGCGU